UCAUACACUGGGCAAACCCGGUGAAAACCGGGGGCGCAAAGCCGUGGGUCUAAGGUGCAAAUCUGCGUUAUGAUUGCCAGGCUGCAAGU
rnacentral:ncRNA from 1 species